AGGCAGGAAAGUGGAGUUGAAGAUUAUCAGAUCAGCAAUGAUCUUAAUGAAUGGCGGAGUAGACUCAAUGGGCCGAAUGGCCUACUUCUCCUUCCACGUCUUAUGCUCUUAUGUUUAAAAGAUGAAUGCAGGGAACUGAUGGAGGUAUUUAAAAUGAUUAAAGGAUUUACUAGGGUAGAUAGAGAAAAACUAUUCAUGGGCAGUCAGGAGUCACUUCUUCACACAAAAGGGAGCAUAAGUCUGGAUCACAAUCCCCCAAAAAGCUGUCGAUGCUGGGGGUUAAUUGAAAAAUUCAAGGCUGAGAUUGAUUAUUUUUGUUGGGUAAGGGUAUUAAGGGAUACAGAACCGAGGUGGGCAAUUGAAGUUAUGCUACAGGUCACGAUGUAACUGAAUGAUGGAGCAGGCUUGUGGCGCUGGAUGGCCCUCUUCAGUUUCUGUGUAUUUAUGAAGUGACGUUAAGCUUGUGCUUUAAAGCCUGUAGUUUGCAGCCCCAAGGUAAGCCUGGGGGAUGUAAAUAACGCCACAGAUUAAGGUAAAGUGUAGCAAGGAUGGAGUGUGAGCAGGAUGAGGAAAACAGAGCAGCCCAAUAGAUGAGUAUUGGUGCAUCACAACAUGGCAGUGACCAGGAUUCAUAUAUCAGUGUGUUUUAUACUCCUGUGGUGCUCCUAGCACUUUGGGAUAUUUUGCAUUUAAACAGCAUGUUUAAUGUCACAAGUUGCUGUUCAUUGAUUAUAAGCCUUGACAUUAUUAAAAAAUCCUUCAUGUGAAGGCCAGUUCUUGGAACAUGUUCAAUCCUGAGGCACUAACCCAACCCGGUCUCUCUCCUGGUCUGUAGAUCUCGGUUUGUGAUAAGACCCCUUCUGUUCCCCCACUCAUGUGUUUAUUCUCAGGUUGGGCCAUUGGACUCUGAAGGGGGUGUCAGUAAAACCGUUACCAUUACUUGCUUAAGUACUGGUAAGGGUUAUAUUGCUGCUCCCAAACUCAUCUCAGCAGACAGACAGAGGGGAAGGAGCCAGGCGGAAGGAUGUGAGGGGCUGAAUGAUGUGCUGUGGAUUUGUGACUCCUCCAGGAAGGAGGUCCAAAUUCACACAAUGCUAGUGAGUCGAGAAAAGAGAAGAUCAAGUCAUUGCUGCCUACCUUAUUCAGGACCAGAACCGCUGGGAGAUGGGGAUAUUUUGAAAGACAUUUCAAUAAUUCAGUGUGGAGCUUGUUGCGUGUCCAGUGGUCAGAGAUGUCAACUAAAACGAGCACUGGAAGGCAAAACACAACAUUAAGUAUUUUAUCCCUGCUCAGCAGGUGCAGCCACAGUUAAUUGUCUGGACUGGGAUAAAUCUCUCUAGCACUCACCCAGGUCUGCUUCUUUCACUGAAUGCCAGGGGUCAUCCAACAGCGAUUUCUCCAGGUUAUGCCUGGCAGGAAUGGAAUGGUUAACUCAUUGAACAGACUUGUGAAACAGUAAAAUGUGAAAUAAAAGUAUAAAAAUGUGUAGAACCUUUUUGCUUUGACAGCAGGAACGAGACCAGGUGUGUCCAGAAGAAUCUGCAAAGUGAGAGAGAGAGAACAAUCAGUAACAGCAUGAGAAUGAAUGCCAGUCUGCAUCUACAGAGCAUGCUAAAGGGAUUCCAAGCAUCUCACAAGAAAUAUUAAACACCAAGCUGGAGUUCGGAGAAUAGGAGGCAACUAAAUGUCAAGAGAUUUCCAGCAUCCACCAUAUUGUGCCUUUGCUACAAUGGAGGUGUGGGUGAUGUAACACAGCUCCCUGAUCAGUCAACACUACAAUAUUGCUGACUAGAAUAUUUUUUUGAAUAAAACCUCAAGUACACCAACAGCAGGAAAAUAUCCUGGACAAAAUUAGAAGCAUCCAAUCUCUCUUUAAAACUGUAAACUGGGUUUACCUUUCUGCCCAGAAGCUGGUUGGACAGGGUGGAUUUACCAGCAUUCGGAGCCCCAAUGAUGGCGACUCUCAGCACUCGUGAGUUUUCAGGCUGAUCUGGCUGAUGGAGGAGGAGGUUGUCCUGCUCAGCUGGGACACAGGAAUACAACUUCAAUCAUUAAGGAAACUGAAUCAUGUGAGCAAAGAGCUGAACCAAGGCAGAGCCAAGAAUACACAGUGAAUGUCUGAUGAGAAGUUGGUUAGAUCCACCUGGAACAUCUGCAUUCAGUUCUGGGCAGUGCACCCCAGAAAUAUCACACUGGACUCAGAUAGGGUAAAGCACAUAUUAACCACAGUUAUACCAGGGGUUAGAGGGUUAAAUUAUGAGGAUAAGUUCAUAGACCAGACUUAUAUUCCCUUGAGCUGAGAAAGUUAAAAGGUGAUGUAAUUGAGGUGUUUAAAAUAAGAACAGACUGUAAAUGUUGGGUGCAAAUUGGAACUUUCAAGAAUGAGAUCAAUACAUUUUUGUUGGGCAAGUGUAUCACAGGAUAUGGAGAAAAGAUGGGGAAAUGGACUUGAAGUAAAUGUCAGCCAUUAUAUAACUAAAUGUGGAACAGGUUCAUAGGGCUGAAUGGCUUCCUCCUAGUCCUAGGUGCAAUCGCACAGCACCAACAUCACGUGACACUAUUUAAAAAACAACCUGUAACUGAUAAGAAUGUGAAAGAUUCUUCAGUGUCUCAAAAUAUUUCAACCCCCAAUUACAUUAAAUUUCUCCCUCCCCCAUGAGUUUUUGUGCUUGACAUGAUGAGGGGCAGCAGCCUCAGGAAAAAUGACCGAGUUUCAGAAACCCAGUAGAGGCACAACUGCUCCCAAAGCAGGUUCAGCAUGUUGGAGUCAAAGUAAAAAAGCUCCCUUUACAAUAUCCCAUCAGAGUCUCAGACCCAGUCACAUAUGAAAACCUCUCGUGCUGCAGUGUGAACUUUCUGCUUAGCACGCAGCCAAGUAAAGGUCUUUUCUAAGCAAGAUGCCAAUUUGUACAUAAUUAUGAGCAGUGUUGUGCAAACUAGUUUCACGCAUGUUCUCAAGUCCUGAUCAGUGUACAAGAUUGGGAAAAGGCCCUGCUAUGCAUCAGGCUGAUCUCAAUCUGAAACUGAUUACUCUCCCUCUCAGGUUCUUUAAAAUAUUAAUUUACACUGAUUCCUAUCCCACAGACCAUGGGAGUUUGCAGCAGUCAAAAAAUUGGAAAUCAUGGUACACCCAAAGUCAAAAAAUUGCUCGGAGAAAAAGUCUUCAGAUUCGAUGAUUAUGGAAAAAUAUUUGAAGGUCAGCCAACUUUAAAAGGAAUCCCAGUGCAAGUAAGAGAACCCACCUUUAGUCACA